rnacentral:lncRNA from 1 species
GGAGCCCGAGAGACCAGACGAUUCUUCUAGUUGUACUGAUAUUCUUCUCUCCUCAGAAUCAGAUUCGUGCAAUAGUUCCAGUUCGGACAUCAUAAGAGAUCUCCUGGAAGAAGAGGAAGCCUGGGAAGCAGCUCACAAGUGAGUUCCCACGAUCAACAAACGUGUGUACUUCAGCCUCAGAAAUGAGACUUCUGUACAGCUGAUUUUCACACAAACAUUUGUGCUUUCUGCUGUGAGAGAAUAACAGGUGGAAGGCAAACGCCUCUGCUUUGUUUCUUGUUUAUAUGUCUCACUGUGGAACUGGAGUCCUCAUAUCAUGAGUUGCUUGUA